UUACUACUCCCUCCGUCCGGAAAUACUUGUCAUCAAAAUUGAUAAACGGAGAUAUAUAUAGACGUAUUUUAAUUGUAGAUACAUCUAUUUUUAUCCAUUUUGAUGACAAGUAUUUUUAGACGGAGGGAAUAAUUC
rfam:Triticum aestivum genome assembly, contig: Triticum_aestivum_CS42_TGACv1_scaffold_222439_3B